CCUACGGGAGGCAGCAGUAGGGAAUAUUGGACAAUGGACGCAAGUCUGAUCCAGCCAUCCCGCGUGAAGGAUUAAGGCCCUAUGGGUUGUAAACUUCUUUUCUUUGGGAAUAAAAGCGGUAUUCAUAUCGCCUUGAAGGUACCAGAGGAAUAAGCACCGGCUAACUCCGUGCCAGCAGCCGCGGUAAUACGGAGGGUGCAAGCGUUAUCCGGAUUCACUGGGUUUAAAGGGUGCGUAGGUGGCUUUGUAAGUCAGCGGUGAAAGCCUGGAGCUCAACUCCAGAAUUGCCAUUGAUACUGCAGAGCUUGAAUCAAGUUGAGGUGGAUGGAAUAUUACAUGUAGCGGUGAAAUGCUUAGAUAUGUAAUAGAACACCGAUUGCGAAGGCAGUUCACUAAGCUUGUAUUGACACUGAGGCACGAAAGCUGGGGAUCAAACAGAUAGAUACCUGUAGUCACGACCUAACGACUAGCAACUACGACA
rnacentral:rRNA from 1 species